CUAUAUCGCAUUGAAAUACCUGUUCUCGUAUGAUCACCGAAGUUAAGCAACAUUGAACCCAGUCAGUACCUAGAUGGGUGACCGCUUGGUCAUACCAGAUACCGU